rnacentral:ncRNA from 3 species
CAAUAAAUCCCUUGUCUUCUUA